GAUGAACGCUGGCGGCGUGCCUAAUACAUGCAAGUCGAGCGAACAGACGAGGAGCUUGCUCCUCUGACGUUAGCGGCGGACGGGUGAGUAACACGUGGAUAACCUACCUAUAAGACUGGGAUAACUUCGGGAAACCGGAGCUAAUACCGGAUAAUAUAUUGAACCGCAUGGUUCAAUAGUGAAAGACGGUUUUGCUGUCACUUAUAGAUGGAUCCGCGCCGCAUUAGCUAGUUGGUAAGGUAACAGCUUACCAAGGCAACGAUGCGUAGCCGACCUGAGAGGGUGAUCGGCCACACUGGAACUGAGACACGGUCCAGACUCCUACGGGAGGCAGCAGUAGGGAAUCUUCCGCAAUGGGCGAAAGCCUGACGGAGCAACGCCGCGUGAGUGAUGAAGGUCUUCGGAUCGUAAAACUCUGUUAUUAGGGAAGAACAAAUGUGUAAGUAACUAUGCACGUCUUGACGGAACCUAAUCAGAAAGCCACGGCUAACUACGUG
rnacentral:rRNA from 1 species